rnacentral:rRNA from 1 species
GACGAACGCUGGCGGCGUGCUUAACACAUGCAAGUCGAACGGAAAGGCCCUGCUUUUGUGGGGUGCUCGAGUGGCGAACGGGUGAGUAACACGUGAGUAACCUGCCCUUGACUUUGGGAUAACUUCCGGAAACUGGGGCUAAUACCGGAUAGGAGCUCCUGCUGCAUGGUGGGGGUUGGAAAGUUUCGGCGGUUGGGGAUGGACUCGCGGCUUAUCAGCUUGUUGGUGGGGUAGUGGCUUACCAAGGCUUUGACGGGUAGCCGGCCUGGGAGGGUGACCGGCCACAUUGGGACUGAGAUACGGCCCAGACUGCUACGGGAGGCAGCAGUGGGGAAUAUUGCACAAUGGGCGGAAGCCUGAUGCAGCAACGCCGCGUGCGGGAUGACGGCCUUCGGGUUGUAAACCGCUUUCGCCUGUGACGAAGCGUGAGUGACGGUAAUGGGUAAAGAAGCACCGGCUAACUACGUG